rnacentral:rRNA from 1 species
UCCUUUUGGUGUCAGUUGACUUGAUUGGGCGGGUCCAAUAUCAGCCGGAUUCCCCUUGAGAGACUUUGUGGAGGCCUGACGGUCUCACCCAAUGGCUUGGGGUUCUGCCGGCUGUGAGGGGUGGCGGUUAACUCACUUUAAGCAAUCAAUUCUGAAGACAGCUCUAUUGGCUAGCAUUGCUGGCUGUAGACUGAACAAAUACAGACAACUCUCAACAACGGAUAUCUUGGCUCCCGUAACGAUGAAGAACGCAGCGAAAUGCGAUACGUAGUGUGAAUUGCAGAAUUCCGUGAACCAUCGAAUCUUUGAACGCAAAUUGCGCUCGAGGCUUCGGCCAAGAGCAUGUCUGCCUCAGCGUCGGCUACUACCCUCAACUAAGUUUCCUAUGAAAGACUAGGGGAUGCCAGUUGGAUAUGGCAGUCCGGUUUGCCUUUCAGGUUGCCGGUCAGCUGAAAUAUAUUCACGCUCUGGGGGCUGCUUUCCUUGAAAGGCUACUUUCAAGGGGAGGCGAGUUCCGAUUUGGUAGGUGACCUUUGCCGGUUACAUGCCUUCGUUGCUCGCUAAGCUUCCCAAUAGUCGUUGUGCAGGACGCCUUUUGGCUUUCGACCUGAGGUCAGGCAAGAACACCCGCUGAACUUAAGCAUAUCAAUAAGCGGAGGAAAAGAA